UCGCCGUUAGUCGGUGCCAAAUCGUGACCGCGUUCGCACACAACCAGCACGAUCCCGGGAUAAUCGAACUACUGUGAGUGUGAGCUAGUGAGUGAGUGGAGUUGAAGUAACCCAUAAUAAAAAAGUCCUUUUUAAAUUAAGGGAAAAGGGUAACAUUAUCAUUACGACAAGGAUGUGUUGGUGCUUUAAAGUAAAGAGUGUCUGUGUACGUGAAAGAUUUGCCUGGUUGCUGCAAGACAUGUGCGGUGGAAUGAAAUCGAAACAAAUGUGCCAAAAGCUAUGGAAAACGAAAGCAAAGCAAGUGAAAACCAGUGCAAAAUGAAAGAAAAAUAUGAGAAAGUGAACAAAAGCAAAUGAAAACAGGAAGAAAUUUAUGUGAAGUUUGUGCAGUUUUUGUUACAUCCAAAAUAAAGUUUGAAGAAAAACAGAGCAUCGAACCGCGUCCUCUUCAAACUUCCGAAUGCAUCAUUCAUCGUGCAGAUAAAAUCGUGCUCAUUUGAGUAGCCCAAUGUCUGGGAUCGACACCGUGUUCAGAGUUCUUUCGGUUGCCUUCGUUGGCAAUAAAGUUGGUCCAAUUUGCUAAAUGUGCCCGGCUGCCAUCACUUUUGGGUGUCUGUCAGCUGGAAUUCAACAAGGCAAACGUCGUCGUGCGGUGUAAGUGAGCCUUAUACGUCUGCGUGGAUGAUCCGAGGAUAUAAAACCAUCAUCAAACCAUCCUCCGUAGCGGUCAUCACAUAACUCAACUGCACAAGCCUACAAUAAAAAGAAAAACGGGAGUCUACAUACCUCUUACGCACCCGGACGUGACCAUAAAAAUUGACUCCUUCGAUUCAUUUCCGUUUCGUAUCGUCACGUCCUGGGUUUCCCCGAGACGACCACCGAAAGAUAUUCCCGUGAAGUUCAGUGCUCAGUGCCAUUUGGUGAUUGUUGCGGGUUUGGGUGGCCGAGUGACAAAUCGAUCAGAAGUUGCUUCCGUUUCAAUCGAUACGUGUGUGUGCGACACGAACGCCGAGAACGCCCUUCCCGGCCUACUCCUAGGGGAAAUGAGAAAACGCAAACGCAUCAAACCGUAGCAGCAGUAGGUGACGACGGAACGUAAACCUUAGAGUCCUUCAUGUGAGGACCUACGACUACUAGCCCGACUACAGUUACUAGGUGACGUGAAGAAGUGUUGAUCAUGCAAACUGCCUGACGGUACGCGAAGACAGCUUGCAAGUGGGAGCUAGUGAGUGGUUGGGAGUUGUGUUUUUUUGUUUAUUUUCCGUAUCGAUCCCACUGGCCCACUGAAGACAUCGCAAGAGUCCCGCCGGUGUGUAGUUUGUAGAAAAAGCAAGUGACGGAGAGCUUCUCCGUUCUCAACCAUUUAAGAAGAUUAGUGCAAAGGGAAUGCAAAACUGUCAUAUAAGGAAUACUUACGCGGACCCUUUUUUCUUGGUGAUAAAUAAAGGAAAAACUCCCCAACUCCUCCAGUGGGGAAACCGUGAAGUGAAUCAUGCGUAAAGUCGUUAUUAAUGGUAAAAGACCGUAUCGAAAGAGUGUCCUGUGCGUGUGUCCCUUUAAGCAGCUUAAUUUGUGCAAUUUAUGAAUCGUUCGCGUAAGAGGGCAUUCCGCUGAAGGUCACGGAACCGAAAAGAUCAUGAACACAGACGGUGCUAUGAGAAACCGAUUUUGUGGUGCAACGGCAGACAACAACACCCCAACAGAGGGUGCUUAAUUCAUUUACCACCACGUGCACCGAUCUCGAAAACAGACACACACACACACAUACGGCUCCCACCAUGAACAUUAUGGACUCGGAGAACCGGGUCGUGCUGAAUGUGGGCGGCAUACGGCACGAAACGUACAAGGCGACGCUCAAGAAGAUUCCGGCCACGCGGCUGUCACGCCUUACCGAGGCACUGGCCAAUUACGAUCCGAUCCUGAACGAGUACUUCUUCGAUCGGCACCCGGGAGUGUUCGCACAGGUGCUCAAUUACUAUCGCACCGGUAAACUGCACUAUCCAACCGAUGUCUGCGGUCCGCUGUUCGAGGAAGAGCUAGAAUUUUGGGGCCUGGAUUCUAACCAGGUUGAACCGUGCUGCUGGAUGACCUAUACACAGCAUCGUGAUACGCAGGAAACGCUUGCCGUGCUGGAGCGGCUCGAUCUCGACACGGAGAAACCGACGGAGGAGGAACUAGCUAGGAAAUUCGGUUACGAGGACGAUUAUCUAAAGGGUACGGUUUCCUGGUGGCAGCACACGAAACCGCAAAUUUGGUCGCUGUUCGACGAACCGUACAGCUCCAACGCUGCCAAGAUAAUCGGUGUGAUAUCGGUGUUCUUCAUCUGCGUCUCCAUCCUGUCCUUCUGCCUGAAAACGCACCCGGACAUGCGGGUGCCGGUCAUACGGAACAUCACGGUCAAGACGGCAAACGGCAGCACGGCCUGGGUGCUGGACAAAACGCAAACGAACGCUCACGUCGCGUUCUUCUACAUCGAAUGUGUCUGCAAUGCGUGGUUUACGUUCGAAAUUUUGAUACGCUUUAUCUCCUCGCCCAACAAGUGCGAGUUUGUCACGUCAUCUGUAAAUAUCAUCGACUACAUCGCGACGCUUAGCUUCUACGUGGAUCUGGUGCUGCAACGGUUCGCAUCGCACCUGGAGAAUGCGGACAUCCUCGAGUUCUUCUCCAUCAUCCGCAUCAUGCGGCUGUUCAAGCUGACGCGCCACUCGUCCGGCCUGAAGAUACUGAUCCAGACGUUUCGUGCCUCGGCCAAGGAGUUAACGCUGCUGGUGUUUUUCCUCGUGCUCGGUAUCGUGAUAUUCGCCAGCUUGGUGUACUACGCCGAACGGAUCCAGGCGAACCCGCACAACGACUUCAACAGCAUCCCGCUCGGACUGUGGUGGGCACUGGUGACGAUGACCACGGUCGGGUACGGUGAUAUGGCACCGAAAACGUACAUCGGCAUGUUUGUCGGUGCGCUGUGUGCGUUGGCCGGUGUACUAACGAUAGCACUGCCGGUUCCGGUUAUUGUGAGUAACUUUGCGAUGUACUAUUCGCAUACGCAGGCGAGGGCAAAGUUGCCCAAGAAGCGACGACGAGUACUACCUGUGGAACAACCACGACAACCACGUACUGCAGGUCAAGGCGGUGGCAUCGGUAUGCCCGGUUCCGGCCCGAUGGCACGCCGCAUGAACCAGGUGAAGACGAAGGAUCUGGGACCGAAAAUUGAUGCCGCCUCAGCGUACAUAGGCAAAGCGGGUGGCAAAAUGGCACAGCUUUUAUAACGAACAGCUUUUGCGCUAAUCCCUGCACGACUGUACGCGUCACGCCGUCCCGUACCCGUCCCGCCGCACUCCCGUGCCCACCGCGAAGCAGCAACGAUCUGCAACCUAACCUAAGAGCGGACUUCACCGCCGCACCAACGUGUCACGUGUGUCACAUGCGCCGUUUCCGGUGGAUUCGGAAAGUAAACAAAAAAAUGUCCACACACCCCCCUCCCCGGAACACACACGUUCGCCCAAAUGAAACGUCCAUUGCGCGUUACCCGAGGGGGUUUGGCCAAAAGGGGGGUUUGGUUCUGGUCGACAGUUUGAGACAACAUUAUUUCGCGCUAAACAUAAUUGCUCACUGUGUGGUGGUCAUCGUUAGGUGGAGCGAGUGUGGAAAAUGCAAACCGAACGCUCUUAUUACUCCAACCGCUUGUCGCUUGAGCUGUGAUGCCUUCGAGCAGCUCGAGAACUCGCACUGCUCCGGUACGGCCACUUUGGGCCGGUGUACUUGUGGGGAAGCAGAAACGGACGGAAUGUGCUGUAUAUGCUCGCUUGUUUUCCACUGCCACUGUACUCGGAACUGGUCCGAUCGGUGCCAGUAUCGUGGCGAUGUGUCCGAAAAACGUGGGCCUUCACACCAACCCAGCCCUCGCGAUGUGCAAACCAACGUUCGAGGUCCGUCCGCCGAGCAUUGCGCCCACACCGAUGAUGCUGGUGCCGCGCGAUUCAAGCUACAAACCGACCGUUACCACACCGACGGCCCCCAACAGUGGACCGGUGGCCACUCUCGGCAAUGCUACUAGCACCAACACCACCAACAACAACAGCACAACGGUCCUCAACAACAACAACGUCGUCAGCAAGAGCAACAGUAACGGAGCCGGUGGAAAACCGAUCGCCAACAGUACCAGCCAGUGUAGUAUCGUGAAAAGUGCCAGCGGACAGCUGACGAGCUCGGUGCUGAAGAGCAACGGCACCACGGCGAAGGAGACGUCGUCCGAGGAGAAAAGUUUUCUUUGAGCGUUCAAGCUGCCAAUCGCCAAGCACCGCCAAAGGUAUGCCAAACUCGACCCCACACCGUACCCGGCAGCGGCAUGUAAAGCCAUGUAAAUAUAAAAAAAUCAAACACUCGUUGUAUGUAAGGGAUAUUUGUCUGAGAAGAGCAGGGUGUAAGGUUCUAUUUUCACAGCUCACAAAAUCAAUGCUAAGUCGUGCUCUGGAACAAAAUCGUCUGUACGUGUGUUUACGUGUGUAAAAUAAUUGUACCGCAAAAGCUAAAGCUCACUUUGCUAGCGUAAUAUUACAGCGUUCCGGCUUUGGCUAAGGAAGCCACGAAACUGAUGAUGAUGAUGAUGAUUCAAUUUUCAAUUAUGCCUUCACGCUUCAACAGGCAACCAAACACACAUACACACACACACAGAAACAAACAGCAAUGACAAGCAUAGUUUUAAUCGAAUCGAGAUAUAAGAUGUAAGUAAACAUACUAUAAAAAUGAGAAAUAAAUGUGAAUAUUUUACACUGUACUGCUCUCUCCGAUUUGCCGAAUGCGCUUGGCAGUGCUUCGUUAUGGUGCUUUUUUACAAAACUCGGUCUAGUGCGGUUUUUCACACACACACACAUAGAAAUGAACGAAAAAAGCCAGCUACAUCUACAAGUGGAAUGGAAAAAGGUUUCUCUAGAAUCGAAGCAUUAUUUUUGCUCUCUCUUUUCAUGUCAUCUUAUCCGUUUUUCCUACAAAAAGUUGAGAACUUUUUUCUAUUUUUUAUUUAAAAAAAUAUUUAUUUGACAUGAUAAUUCAUGUCAUGUUUAACUUCACGAAAGUUAAAAAAAGAAAUUUAAUUUAAAAAACCCCUCGUAAACAAACCCAAAUGCAAAAAUAUAAAAACAAAACAGAAAACACAAAAUCAUAAGCGUUGAAUGUGAUAAAAGUAGAUUUAAAAAAACACAGAAAGCCGCAAGAAGGAAAGGCAAACGCAAACCCCUUGCGUGGCAAAAUGGAAAUAAAAGAAGGAAGGCAGGACAAAAAAAAACACUAAUCGAUUCAAAUGUAAAAUUCUCUACUUGGCUAAGAAAUAUAGUAAUAGAUACUCUACAAAGGCAAAAGCAAAAACUUGAUCCUUCUAACCAAGCUCAAGUGCGGUGUACUUCGAUGCAAAUGCAUUCAAUUAAUGUAAAUCAAAACAGCAAACCAUAAAGGGGUGAUGCAAAACGGGAAGAGGAAAAAAACUCACUAAACUACACACCGUGCAAAUGACAGGGAGAAAUGCAAAAUCCCUUCACUUUUCCCGGUAUCACACUGUUAAGAAAUUAUGAAGCUUCACAACAACAAAAAAAAAUAAAAAACUCAAACCAUAAUAUGCAAAACAGGAAGCUGCAAAUUUGAAAAGGAAGUGAUAGAAGACGAAAAGCAAAGCAAGAGCACCUUUAUUAAAGGAAGGAAAAACACAACAUCGGAAAAGCAAAUGCAAAAACACUGCAUUCAUAAGAUGGCACUUUAAGGGAAAAGGAAUUAACUGAUAAGGAAAAAAUAUGAAGGAGAAAACAGCAGUGGAAAUGUAGUAGCAUUUCAUAUUUUUUCCUUAUCCUUUUUUUAUCGUUUCGAUAUGAGCUGGCGCUUAUGAAAAUGAAAAUGAAUCCCCGGAGCAAACAAAUGCCAUGACAAAUGCAAUUUCUUCUGUCCUUCUCUCAGGUUUCUCUCUCUUACUUUCUUUCUUUAUUUUUUGGAUUUUUACCUUUUUUCGUGAUUCUUUUUGUCUGGACGAAGGACGUGUUUAUCAUGCUCGGAGAGAUAUAAUCGGAUUUUGAAGCGACGCUCUUAACCUGAGCAACAUAAACAAUGCGGCGAUUUUUCUUUACUGUCGGAACAAAAGCAUUUAACUAAACAUGAAAUGAGUUUGUGAUAACAUUUCUAAUGUCGUUCCCUUUUUUUCAUUUGAAUUAUCUGUGUGUUUUCGGGCUUAAGAACACGGCAUGGAAAGAAUCGGAAAAAUAAAAAUAAUUACCACAAAAGCUA